rnacentral:rRNA from 1 species
UACGGGGGGGGCAAGCGUUGUUCGGAAUUACGUGGGCGUAAAGGGCUCGUAGGCGGCCAACUAAGUCGGAUGUGAAAUCCCCGGGCUCAAGCCUGGGAACCUGCAUCUGUGACUGCAUCGCUGGACGUGCGGCAGAGGGGGAUGGAAUUCCGCGUGUAGCAGUGAAAUGCGUAGAUAUGCGGAGGAACACCGAUGGCGAAGGCA